CAAAUAAAAAACCUUAAAACUCUCGUUUUUGAACAAUGUACCGAUCAAAAGGUAGUAGUCUACUACCAAAAAAGAGACAUGGUAAAACACAACUUUCUGGCUUAAGAUGCUUUCAGCCAUACUGUUUGCACACUUAGCUGCUCAGCAAUGCACUUUGGAAGCACAACUGAUAGACCAGAGGUGUGUACUUUCAGGUCCUUUCGUACUAAAAAGCCAAUGUCACUGUCUAUGAAACUACCACAGAGAAGAGCCGUGCUGUGUCACCACGCACUGAACCCAGCUCACGUACCGCUUUAAUAGACGAACAGUCUAACCCUUCUUACCUUCUUCAGCAAGAGGAUGCGAUGAGCCGACCUCCAAAGUGCUGGUUCACUACCGUAGACUUUCGUCACUUGAAAAAGCUCACAUCUUUCGACCUUCUCCUUUCUCAAGUGUGUAUAUUUUACACCCUGCUUGGCUUGUGUGCCUAACAGUCAGGCAUGGUUGCUGGGUUGUCAGACUCUAAACGGCAAAAACAGUUAGACCAUACCUUGACACACCCCCGAUAUUUUUUUGGAGGUUUCCGCCCCAGACAAACUCCCAAGCUAAAAGAUUUUUAUGCUGUCUAAUAAAGUCGCCAAAAAGUGUUGGUACUUAGAAAAACAUAGACUUCUCUAAAAAAGCUUUUGAAGAAACCAAUGGUGGUAUCUCACUGACACAUUCAUUCAUUCUGUCUUUUUUGAAGAAAGAAUAAAUGAAUGCUCCCACCUAUACUGAAAAAGGUGUUUUCAAAAAGCAGUUUUAGCUUAGAGUAAAGGUGUAUAGGGUCUCAUUGUCCCGUGGCAGUUUUCUCGCCUCUUCACGAGAAUGUCAAAUUCGCCCACACCUCGGUAGAGACAGUAGGUGGAUGAUGACGCCAUUCAUGCGGGUCGACAAUUAUUCGACAAGGAAUUUCGCUACCUUAGAACCCUUAGAGUUAGGGCUGCCGUUCACCGGUCCUUCAGAUUCACUGCGUGAACAAUAAAUUCUUAUCUUCCGGCACUGGGCAGGCGUCAGGCCUUAUACUGAGUAUUUCUACGUGGCAAAGCCCUGUGAUAUGGAUAGGUAGGCUCUCUCGAGCUUUCCCCCCGUUAGAACCGUGCGUGCGGCUUUCACCGCACACGGCUCAAACACUCACUCGACAAAGAUCCGGAGGGCGCUAGCGCACCCCAUGAACUCAUUAGACCACUUUUGAGUCAUUUAUGGU
rnacentral:rRNA from 1 species